CCUACGGGUGGCAGCAGUAGGGAAUUUUCGACAAUGGGCGAAAGCCUGACCGAGCAACGCCGCGUGAACGAAGAAGGUCUUCGGAUUGUAAAGUUCUAUUAUCGAGGAAGAAUGGUGUACGUAGUAAAUGUCGUACAACUGACGUUACUCUGUGAGGAGGCCCCGGCUAACUACGGGCCAGCAGCCGCGGUAAUACGUAGGUGUAGAGCGUUAUCCGGAAUCAUUGGGCGUAAAGGGGGAGCAGGCGGCCUGGAGGGUCUAUUGUUAAAAGGCAAUGGCUUAACCAGUGUAAGGCGAAGAAACUGGCAGGCUAGAGUGCUAAAGAGGAGCGUGGAAUUCCAGGUGUAGCGGUGAAAUGCGUAGAUAUAUGGAGGAACACCAGUGGCGAAGGCGACGAGCUGGGAAGAAACAGACGUUGAGUCUCGAAAGCGUGGGGAGCAAAUAGGAUUAGAUACCCUAGUAGUC
rnacentral:rRNA from 1 species